CUCAUCGCUCUCAUCGUAAGAGUCAUCGAGGUCAUAGUAGUACCCUGAUGGCAGAAAUGGGUGCACUGAGCCAGGCUCAGAACCCAGGAUGCUCCAUGGACACGUGCACCUGGGGGCAUGGGAGUGAGGCCACUGGGCUGGGCCUGCUGGCACCUGUGAGGACCCUUGCUAAGAGGGCCUGGUUUCUUCCCAUCUGCGUGGACACCUGCAGUGAGCCGAGGGCGGCAAGACUCAGGCAAGACUCAAACUCGGGAUGCUCCCUAGGCGCAGGGCAGAGCAUUCCUGACAAAGGCCUGAUGUCCAUUGCUUGGUAAGCCUCAUGGGAAGGCAGCUGAACACUACAGAGCCCCCAUUCCUUUUCAAGGUGACUUGAAAAGCCCCAGGCAGACCCUAAAGCUAGCAUGACCAGCACCCCAGAAGCAGAACUAAGAGGAGCUGGGUGCGAUACCAGACAGGCCAUAUCAAUUCCUGGAGCUAAGACCGGCCUGGGGCAGUCACCCUCAGCAGCAGGUGUGUGCAUCUGCGUCUACAGCCCCUACUGGCUCUCCUGACCUUAGGACCUUAGGGAGCUGUCUCCUGCACUUUGGGGGGCAGAGACAGGAAGGAGAUGCCGAACUCCAGGCUUGGUCAGGGCAGAACCAGCUGCUGUCCCUUAUCCCCUGGUGCACGUGUGCCCUACUGUCACUAGCCCGUGUGUGUAACCCUGCUGGUUUGUUCCUCUGUUAACGUCACACUAUCACUAUUUAAAGACCA
rnacentral:lncRNA from 1 species